AGGAAGAGCUUGCUCUUCCAAAGUUAGUGGCGGACGGGUGAGUAACACGUGGGCAACCUGCCUGUAAGUUGGGGAUAACUCCGGGAAACCGGGGCUAAUACCGAAUGAUAAAGUGUGGCGCAUGCCAUGCUUUUGAAAGAUGGUUUCGGCUAUCGCUUACAGAUGGGCCCGCGGUGCAUUAGCUAGUUGGUAGGGUAAUGGCCUACCAAGGCAACGAUGCAUAGCCGACCUGAGAGGGUGAUCGGCCACACUGGG
rnacentral:rRNA from 1 species